GGACAGAUUGCCGAGUAGGUCUAAGGCGCCACGUUAAGGCCGUGGUCUCGUAAGAGGCGUAGGUUCGAAUCCUACUCUGUUCA